rfam:Beta vulgaris subsp. vulgaris Bvchr4.sca001.con0065.1, whole genome shotgun sequence.
AAUGAAGGGGAUGAUGUCUUCUUUUGUGAGUAUGAGUAUGACAUACAUUGGCAUUCUUUCAAGCGGCUUGCAGAAAUC